GGUGGGAGGUUUAUGGUUAGGAUGUGAAGUUUUCCAGAUCAAGCAGUGGGAGGCUGCUGCAGAUGCUAAGCCAAGUCCAGGAAAGUCACUUUUAUCUGCAAUGUGUAGAACCUGCUAUCAAUUAAACUGAACAAAGCAAGUAUUUGCUGCCUUUGGUGAGGACAAAGCAAGUGUCUUGUGUUCUCUGCCAAAUUAGCAUUAUAGCUAAACUGCCUUCUCCCCUGGAUUGUACCUUGUAAACUGCUGAAGUGACUCAAGAGAAAAGAGUGAGCAUCCAGUGAGGUCUCUUCCUGGUCCAGCCAUUCUAACUCUGGUGAUAGUCAGCAGCACAGAGUUGAAUCACUGGUGUGCUCUGCUCAGGGCCUGGCUGUGAGAGUGGAGCUGCAUCACAGUGCAGGGACACAGGCUGUCACCAUUGGCUGCUGCUUGCAGGGUUCUGUAAAUGAGUUUUGCAUUUCCUGUCCCUUAAUCUCAUAGGGCUGAUCCGGAUCAUGUUAGAAGAGUUGAGUGACCUGGAAAGGGAUGUCCUGUACCUCCUCAGAUAGGCAAUCCUGCAUCUGAGCAAAUAAAUCAGAGGGGAAGAUUACUUCUGGCUGUCCAUUACAUGAUGUACAGUGAGGUUUUUCAACUCUGAUUUGCUCUUGAAUCAGAGUUACCUGAAGGUCCUGUUGGUGGUAGCCAACAGGUAUGACCAAACUCUUAAGAAUCCCUCAGGUCUGGACCAGGCAGUCAUGUUCACUGGUGAAGACACAAAAACCCAGAGUAUUACUAAAUGUCUGGGCCAGGAUCUGAAAGGUUAAGAGAGACCUGAGGGAGGCGUUAUUAAAUUUGAUCCUGUUCUAUCUUCCCUGUGACCUCUGCUUAUGAUGCCUCUUAGGACCUAGGAAGGUGUUUGCUCUGACCACAUUUGGCCAUUCCCAAGUUUUUUCAUUUCAAGUGUAACUCUGGAAGUCUGAAGCCAUGUCUGCUUUGCAAAGCUGGGCAUCCAGUGCUCUUUCUUGGUGCUAUAUGUGUUGGGCAAACACAAAGAUUUCAUAACAAAUGGGAGUUUGUUGACUGUUUUGGAGUCUGUGCUGCUAAUGAUCAGAGGCAGCCCUGAACCACUCCCUCCCAAGAGGCUUCUCUUCCAGCUGGUUUCCUAACCCUGACCUGGACAGCUUCACCACACCCUCCUUGCUGUUUAUCACUACAUCUUGGAUGGGAAGGAGUGGCAACCAUCUGGAUGGGGCUGUCUCCUGGUUUUGGCUUUUCCAGAAGUGUAGGUAGGACACUCGUCUUGGGUUAACUGUGUUCCCUGCCUCUGCCAAUAUCAGUGUGUCUGGACACCAAACGCUCUUGAAGACAUUAAGGUCAUGUAUGAUGGACCACACUGCUUCAGCAAGUUCUAGCUUCUGACUGCCUGUAAUGGAGAUGAGCUGUCCUCACUACCACAAAAUAUAGCUUAGGCUUUUCAAAUAAGAAGAACUGGGGUGUAUUUUAGUGGCUGUGGGUUGUUUGGGUUUUUUUUUUUUUUUUUUUUUUUUUUUUUUUUUUUUUUUUUUUUUUUUUUUUUGUUUGUUUGUUUUUGGGUUUUUUUAUGAGAAAGGGAACAGGCACAAAGGUCUCUCUGUUUAUCUCAGGGAUUUGCUCUUUUUCUCUCAAACCUCCCCACCCCAUAAAGCUCAUUGACUGUUAUUUUCUCUGAAAGAAAAAGGUUCAAAUAAUCCUGCCUCUUUGGUGUGUUGCAGGCAUCAAGGCUGCUGUCACAGGCUACUCUCCUUUGCAGUCCCAGUAGCCUGAAUAAGUGAUGUAGAGAAGAAGCCACCUUCAAUCCACAGUGAGCACCUGCAGAAAUUUGAUUUUUGAAUGAUUCUGGAAGCUUGGAGAUGCUACUUCUCUGUGAGGUCCAGUGAAGCUUGGAGCUGUGUGUGUGGGUGUUUCCCUGAAGGAGUUGCCAGUGAGAUAGACACAGCUGAGCUGACUGCAGCACUUCUUUCUAGAGCAUAGCUGUCAAGAGGAUGAAUGAAUAGUAUGAUAAGAGAUACCUUCUCCUCCUUUGUGAAGGCUUGGGCUGCUCUUUAAAGCCUCAUCUGUUUUGGCUGGAGAAACCCCAAGAGUCCUUUAGUCCUUUAGUCCUUUGCAGGCUCAAGAGUUCUUUAAAGAAGCUGGAUAAGGGGACAUAAAAAUGGAUUGACCAGCCUUUAUCUGACCUCCUCUAAUCACUGCCUACACCAGAAGGAUAAGGUGAUGAACCUGGCUCUUUGGCACAAUUUAAAAUUGUGCAGUGGUGCUGAUGUGGAUUCCUGAGGCUCUGGGACAGGACAAGCAAUCACACAGGAGUAUGGCAUUGAUAGCCAUGCUGAGGAGAUUACCCUGGAGAAAAUCCACUCUU